rnacentral:SRP_RNA from 1 species
GCCAGGUGUGGUGGCGGGUGCCAGUAAUCCCAGCUACUUAGGAGGCUGAGGCAGGAGAAUCGCUUGAGCCCAGGAGACAGAGGUUGCAGUGAGCUGAAAUCGCACCACUGCACUCUAGCCUGGGCAACAGAGUGAGACUCUGUCUCAG